GGAGAAUUAGCUUAAUGGUAAAGUACUAUUUAUAGAAGACGUUGGUUCGAAUCCAACAUUCUCCA
rnacentral:tRNA from 1 species